CCACGCCUCUCGAAAAAAGCUCCUCAUCAAAAUUCCAUGGCGGAGGAGGAGGAUGUCCCUGAUCGGAACCUUUGGUUCUUCGUGGCGGUUCACGUCGGCGAGGGUUUUCACGCGCCGUCGAACGAGAAAGCUCUCAGGUCCGCCAUGAAACGUGCCUGCCUCGCUGCUGCUUCUGUUCUUCGCAAGGUGAUCCAAGCACAAAUGCUGGGCGUGGCUCAAAUUUGACUGAAGAUGGUCAUGUGGAAUGUGAUGCCAGUAUCAUGGAUGGUGAUUCUAGGGGCAUUUGGGGCUGUUUGAGCGGUGCCAGUUAAUAAUUAGUAGGUGUCUGAAAUGGUAUCCAAGUUGCUGCUUUGUUGGCCAAGGAACAAAUGUUGGGGUCAGCACUGCUGGGUCGAAUAGCUCCCAUGUAUGAAUAAACCUGUGUUUAUCUUUGAAUUUUGAUAUACAAAUUACCUCUUUAUGGCAGCAUUGUCACAGUACUUAUUAUUUAUUUCUUGGGGAUUUUUCAUUGGGAAUUAUGAGUCGUGCAACAUUAUUUUGUUAGGGAUGUUACGUACUGCAUACUAUGUGUUAAUAGUGAAUAUGAAUCUGCCUUCUACACAUGUUUAGUGCUUGUAAAAAUCAAAUCAAGUGAAACCAUGAAGGGUAAUGGGUGAAAUUAGUUACAGUGAUUUGGUCUUUGAGUCAAAAAUUGAAAGAAAUGAUUUAUUGAGGAGUCCAUUCCAAGUUUCUGAUAAAUUAGUUUCUUACUUCAACAUCAUGCCAAAUUGGAUUUCCUCUUUUUCUUGGCUAUACUGGUGAUCCUUGGUGAGGAGUUAGUGUAUCUCACUAGGGCAUGCCAUUUGUUGUCCUCCCUCAGAUUUUUGUUUUCUUAUGAGGCAUUUUUUUGUGUUUCCUAGCUUCUUGGUUGGUAAAGGUGCAUGUAUGUGGGCAAAAUCCAAGCGUAUUCCU